CAAGUCGAGCGAGAAAGGGGCUUCGGCUACCGAGUAAAGCGGCGGACGGUGCGUAACACGUGGAUAAUCUGCCUCGUAGGCGGGGGACAACAGUCCGAAAGGACUGCUAAUACCGCAUGUCAGGUCGGAAACUCCGGUUUCUGACGAAAAAGAGGGCGUCCGCAAGGAGCUCUCACCACGAGAUGAGUCCGCGUCCCAUCAGCUAGUUGGCGGUGUAAUGGACCACCAAGGCUUAGACGGGUAGCUGGUCUGAGAGGAUGACCAGCCACACUGGGACUGAGACACGGCCCAGACUCCUACGGGAGGCAGCAGUGGGGAAUAUUGGACAAUGGGCGAAAGCCUGAUCCAGCCAUGCCGCGUGAGUGAUGAAGGCCUUCGGGUCGUAAAGCUCUGUGGGGAGGGACGAAAAAGCGUGACCUAAUACGUCUCGCCUUGACGGUACCUCCUUAGCAAGCACCGGCUAACUCCGUGCCAGCAGCCGCGGUAAUACGGAGGGUGCAAACGUUGCUCGGAAUUAUUGGGCG
rnacentral:rRNA from 1 species